AUCGAACGCUGGCGGCAUGCUUUACACAUGCAAGUCGAACGGCAGCGCGGGCUUCGGCCUGGCGGCGAGUGGCGAACGGGUGAGUAAUGCAGCGGAACGUGCCCAGUAGUGGGGGAUAGCGCGGCGAAAGCCGGAUUAAUACCGCAUACGACCUGAGGGUGAAAGCGGGGGACCGAAAGGCCUCGCGCUAUUGGAGGGGCCGAUGUCGGAUUAGCUGGUUGGUGGGGUAAAGGCUUACCAAGGCGACGAUCCGUAGCUGGUCUGAGAGGACGACCAGCCACACUGGGACUGAGACACGGCCCAGACUCCUACGGGAGGCAGCAGUGGGGAAUUUUGGACAAUGGGGGCAACCCUGAUCCAGCCAUGCCGCGUGCGGGAAGAAGGCCUUCGGGUUGUAAACCGCUUUUGUUCGGGAAGAAAUCCUCUGGGCUAAUACCCCGGGGGGAUGACGGUACCGGAAGAAUAAGCACCGGCUAACUACGUG
rnacentral:rRNA from 1 species